GUGGCGAGUGGCGCACGGGUGCGUUACGCGUUAGCACUACUAUUACUGGGGAACAACCCCGAGAAAUCGGGGCUAAUACGCAUAACAUCAUGAAGUGGCAUCACUUUAUGAUCAAACCUCAGGGGGGCUAUAGAUGGGCAUGCGUGACAUUAGCUAGUUGGUGAGGUAACGGCUCACCAAGGCUACGAUGUCUAGGGGUCUGAAGGAUGAUCCCCCACACUGGUACUGAACACGGACCAGACUCCUACGGGAGGCAGCAGUAAGGAAUAUUGGACAAUGGGCGCAAGCCUGAUCCAGCCAUGCCGCGUGCAGGAUGAAGGUGUUAUGCAUCGUAAACUGCUUUUAUACAAGAAUAAACUCCUUCACGUGUGAAGGAUUGAAUGUACUGUAAGAAUAAGCAUCGGCUAACUUCGUGCCAGCAGCCGCGGUAAUACGAAGGAUGCAAGCGUUAUCCGGAUUUAUUGGGUUUAAAGGGUGCGUAGCGGCUUUUUAAGUCAGGUGGUGAAAGCCCGAAGCUUAACUUCGGGAACUGCCAUUGAUACUGAUAAGCUUGAGUACAUUUGAAGGUGGGCGGGAAAUGUGGUCGGUGUAGCGGGUGAA
rnacentral:rRNA from 1 species